CUGGCACGUAGGAUUUCUGACCUGAAAAUCGUUGGGCUAGGUUAGAAAUCGGCAAACUUCUGUAAAGGACCAGGCAGUUCCGGCGAGGGGGGAGCCUCAG
rnacentral:sRNA from 1 species